rnacentral:rRNA from 1 species
AUCACUACGCUAGAUGCAUAUCAAUAAGCGGAGGAAAAGAAACUAACUAGGAUUCCCUUAGUAACGGCGAGUGAAGCGGGAAGAGCUCAAAUUUGAAAUCUUCAAGGUUUACCUUGACGAAUUGUAGUUUAAAGAAGUGUUUUCUGUUGGAGUUUUGGUAAAAGUUCUUUGGAAUAGGACAUCAUAGAGGGUGAGAAUCCCGUAUUUGAUCGUUACUUUCCAGCUGUGUGAUACACUUUCAAAGAGUCGGAUUGUUUGGGAAUGCAGUCCAAAAUGGGUGGUAAAUUUCAUCUAAAGCUAAAUAUUGGCGAGAGACCGAUAGCGAACAAGUACCGUGAGGGAAAGAUGAAAAGAACUUUGAAAAGAGAGUUAAACAGUACGUGAAAUUGUCAAAAGGGAAGCGUUUGACACCAGUGUUGUUUCGUCGAAAAUCAAUUCACUAAUUUUUGAUUUUGAGUAGUAUGGACUUCAUCAGCUUGCUCCUUUCUUUAUGAAACUUUCUUAAUGCACUUUUCGGUUAACAAGUCAACAUCAAUUUCUUUUGUUGUAAAAGGGUAUGAGGAAGGUGGCUUUCUUUUCGGAGAAAGUGUUUAUAGCCUUGUACCUCUGCAAUCGGAGAGAUUGAGGUCUGCAGCGUAGAUCCUUCGGGGUUAGAUACAUUUGUGCUAAGCUAUAGUUCUUUAUAGACAACUUGUUGACUAUAAUCAAUCCUGUAACUUACUCGCUUAUGCUAUUUUACCUACGCUUAGGAUGUUGACACACGCGCGUGCUCG